rnacentral:lncRNA from 1 species
CACUGAUGGCUCUCACCAGGCACCAAAUCUAGUGGUGUCUUGAUCUUGGACUCCAGAACUGUUUUAUCUACUACAAAGGAUAUCACUUGGGAAGGAAUUUCUUGAAACUGCUCCCAAGAGAGCCAUUGGACCAUGUGGUAAACAACUCCUAGCUGAUGGAUUAUUGGGAAAGCCUCCAGAAGGGCUGGAGACUAAAGGUAUCAUCUCGACCUCUGGAGAGGCUGGAAACUAAAGGAAUAUUAACAUCAUCCAGAAUGCUAUGGGGAGAAGACAACUGGAAGCUCCGUGUGGACAAACCUCCUGGACUCUGCCCCACAUAUCUCUUCCCUUGGCUGAUUUGAAUUUGUAUCCUUUCACUGUGAUAAACCACAACCAGAUUAUUACAGCUGUCAGCAAGUUCUUCUAUUGAAUUGUUGAAACUGAGGGUGGUCUUGGGAACCCCUGAACUCUACUGUUGGUGUCAGGAGUGAGGGAAGUCUUGUGGACUGUACUCCCUGACCUCACAGGUGCAUUUUCCAACUUUAUUUGGACAUUCCCCAACAACAUCAUCCCCUUCUUCAAAUAUGUUUCUGCUACAAACAUUGUCCUUUAGAUGGUUCCUUUGCUGCCAUUAUGACUAUGGCGUAAUCUGUAGUAAAGCACCAUUAAGAUGUUAAUACAGAUGUAUGUGUGAAUUAAAAAGUGAUGCUAAAUGCAUAGUAACCAAUUUACUUCGCAUUAAUAAUUUAGCUAUUUUUAUUUGUUUCUAAACAAAAAGCAAAGAGGAUCCAGUCCAGAGAGCAGUUGCAACAGUGUGCACAAUUUUUAUUAAACCGAAAUAAAAGUUCUUGGGCUAUGGAAGUCACCUAAAUUCACUUCUCUUUUCCUAUGAACUUUCACUUUUUUUCCUUCCAACUCUAGUUAGAAGCUGACAGCUGACACGCCCUUCCUUUGUGCAUUUUAUCCUGGGACAAAAUGAGAAGACAUCCUUCAGUUCCCAUCUUGGAUGGCAUAACUUCAAAACCAAGGGAGAUGGAGGAGUUUUAGAGGAGUAGAAGGCUGCAAGCAAGAACUGAUGCAUUACAUCUCCAGUCACCUCACUCUAAGAUUGUCCUGUAGCUAAGACUGUUGAAUGAGACUGUUGUUCUUCAGUUUGCAGCCACAAAGCACGGAGGCAUCUCCCCAAGAAUCCACUGCAGGGAGGAUGAACAGCCCUUACCUGGAUUUUUGCUUUAUCUAAAAAUAUAUUUGUAGAAGAAGGAGCAUUCUAGUUUCCAAAUACAAAGGGCAAUCUCCUUCUCUGUGUGUGCACGUGCAAACAAACACACUUCUACAAGUAAGCAUUCUUCUUUAUUAUCAUAGUCAUCAUCAUCACUGGGUUGGCAACUAAAAACAAAACUACAAAACUCUCAUGUUAGCAGUUGAGUAACUUUUAAUAACCAGAUACAAACCAUUCUUCAUUGUUUACAAGGGGCAUUAAAAAGAAAAGGAGGUUGAACUGCAAUGUGAAGUGUAGUUAAAUAUGUAGACAUCUUGGAUUCUAGAAGAGUUUGUAAUGGAUUAAAGGGUUAAGCUAUGAAAUUGUUGCCCUCUGUGAUUUUUCCACACUAGAACAGACUGACAUGGUUUGAAGCAGUUGGGCUUUAACCUAUAGAUAGGAGGACAGAGAUGAUUGCCUAUGAAGCAAUUAUUAAAUAGCUGCAUUUUGGCAUGUUCUAGUUGAAAAGAUUUAGUUUUACCUAUAUCACCUCAUCAUCACUAAUUUAAUCAUCCUCAGAAAAUGCAAAAAUAAUGAUGUACAUUUGACAAGUCUUAUACAAAAUUAUGUUUCAUAGCUUUGUGGUCAGAAUUAAGCCAUGUUCUAAAAUACAAAUGAAUAGUUUACAGCCCACUAAUUCCUAACUGUAAGUGUUAAGUCUAUAUAAAAAUAAGAGACAAGCUUGUGAUCAGGAAUAGCUUCCAAUUAUGAAAAAUUUAAAUAAAAAUAAUAGAAUGUGCUUAAUUUAUUUAUCAUAUACAAAGUAGACAUAUGUGACCAAAAUGAUUCAUUAUUUUUACGAUUUUCAUGGGAAUAAGUUUGACAAUAUUAAGUGCUGGAGAUAGAAUAUCAGGUAAUCUUAAAUACUGUUCAUAGGAAUGUACAACCAUUUUGGAGAACAGUUGGAAUUAUCCAAAGAAAGCUGAAGAUUUUCCUAACUUAUAAUUUUAAAAAUUGGCACAUGCCCUCAAGUAACAGUUGCAUACCUAAGGAGACAUGUGUAAGUAUUUUUACAGCAGCAUUAUUUAUAAUAGCCCAAAUUGGAAAUAACCUAAAAUCAUAUGUUCUUAC